rnacentral:piRNA from 1 species
UGCCUGGCCCCCCACAUCUGGCUGAU